rnacentral:rRNA from 1 species
GAGUUUGAUCUUGGCUCAGGAUGAACGCUGGCGGCGUGCUUAACACAUGCAAGUCGAACGAAGCACUACCGACGGAACUUUUUCGGAGGGAAGAUGGUAAUGACUGAGUGGCGGACGGGUGAGUAACGCGUGGCAACCGUGCCCCAUAGAGGGGGACAACAGCUGGAAACGGCUGCUAAUACCGCAUAACAAGGAGAGAGCGCAUGUUCUUUUCUUCAAAGAUUUAUCGCUAUGGGAUGGACCCGCGUCUGAUUAGCUGGUUGGUGAGGUAACGGCUCACCAAGGCGACGAUCAGUAGCCGGCUUGAGAGAGUGGACGGCCGACAUUGGGACUGAGACACGGCCCAGACUCCUACGGAGGCAGCAGUGGGGAAUAUUGCACAAUGGGGAAACCCUGAUGCAGCGACGCCGCGUGAGUGAAGAAGUAUUUCGGUAUGUAAAGCUCUAUCAGCAGGGAAGAUAA